rnacentral:rRNA from 1 species
UACGGGGGGCUCCAGUGGGGAAUAUUGCGCAAUGGGCGAAAGCCUGACGCAGCGACGUCGCGUGAGGGAAGAAGGCUCUCGGGUCGUAAACCUCUGUCAGGAGGGAAGAACCCCUUAGACUCGAACAGGGUUUAAGGCUGACGGUACCUCCAGAGGAAGCACCGGCUAAUUCAGUGCCAGCAGCCGCGGUAAUACUGAAGGUGCGAGCGUUAAUCGGAAUCACUGGGCGUAAAGCGUACGUAGGCGGCGCGUUAAGUCAGACGUGAAAGCCCUCGGCUCAACCGAGGAAUUGCGUUUGAUACUGUCGUGCUUGAGUCCCGGAGAGGUUGGCGGAAUUCCAGGUGUAGGAGUGAAAUCCGUAGAUAUCUGGAGGAACACCAGUGGCGAAGGCGGCCAACUGGACGGGUACUGACGCUGAGGUACGAAAGCGUGGGGAGCAAACAGGAUUAGAUACCCGUGUAGUC